rnacentral:rRNA from 1 species
AGCAGUCGCCACGGUAAUACGUAGGUCCCGAGCGUUGUCCGGAUUUAUUGGGCGUAAAGGGAGCGCAGGCGGUUUAGUAAGUCUGAAGUUAAAGGCAUUGGCUCAACCAAUGUAUGCUUUGGAAACUGUUAGACUUGAGUGCAGAAGGGGAGAGUGGAAUUCCAUGUGUAGCGGUGAAAUGCGUAGAUAUAUGGAGGAACACCGGUGGCGAAAGCGGCUCUCUGGUCUGUCACUGACGCUGAGGCUCGAAAGCGUGGGUAGCGAACAGGAUUAGAUACCCGUGUAGUCCCUGUCUCUUAUACA